AUGCUUUUACUUUCUGUAUGGAGCUGGGAGCGUCUGCCUGUUGGACGCCCGAAGAGCGUCAGGUUUAAUCCUUGGUAUCAAGAUGAAGAUGAAGAAUUACGGCGCCCCACUUGGGCUUACAAGUGGGAUGUGGUUUCCGAGAUGACGAACGAUGUCAAUCUCAUGUACCAGAAGUACGUUGCCGAGUUGAACACGAUUACGCCUGAGCAGGUAACGAGGUCAUUACUUCAGUCAUUUCUCAUGUUUGCCUGA
rnacentral:rRNA from 1 species